rnacentral:rRNA from 1 species
UACAGAGGUGGCAAGCGUUGUUCGGAAUUACUGGGCGUAAAGGGCGCGUAGGCGGCCCGUCAAGUCCCGUGUGAAAGCCCCCGGCUCAACCGGGGAACGGCGCGGGAAACUAGCAGGCUUGAGUUCGGGAGAGGGAAGCGGAAUUCCGGGUGUAGCGGUGAAAUGCGCAGAUAUCCGGAGGAACACCGGUGGCGAAGGCGGCUUCCUGGACCGAUACUGACGCUGAGGCGCGAAAGCUAGGGGAGCAAACGGG